AAACAUGGUUCCAAAGGUGCUUUCAAAGACUUGUUCUCAAACCCAGAAACAUGGUUCAGAAGGUGCUUUCCAAGGUAUGAUUUCAAAACAAAAAAAAUAUUCUAAAAGGUGCUUUUCAAAAACUUGAUCUCAAACCAAAAAAGGCUUAAAAGGUACUUUGAAAAUCUUGAUCUCAAACCAAAAAAGGCUUGAAAGGUGCUUUCAAAAUCUUGAUCUCAAACCAAAUACAAGGUCCAAAAGGUGCUUUAAAGAACUUGAUCUCAAACCAAAAACAAGGUUCCAAAAAGGUGCUUUAAAAAGACGUGAUCUCAAACCCAGAAACAUGGUUCCAAAGGUGCUUUCAAAGACGUGUUCUCAAACAAAAAACGUUCAAAAGGUGCUUUCAAAGACUUGUUCUUAAACUCAGAAACAUGGUUCAGAAGGUGCUUUCCAAGGUAUGAUUUCAAAACAAAAAAAAAAUUCUAAAAAGGUGCUUUUCAAAAACUUGAUCUCAGACCAAAAAAGGCUUGAAAGGUGCUUUAAAAAUCUUUAUCUCAAACCAAAAAGGCUUGAAAGGUGCUUUCAAAAUCUUGAUCUCAAACCAAAAACAAGGUCCAAAAGGUGCUUUAAAAAGCAAGGAUCCAAAAAGGUGCUUUAAAAGACGUGAUCUCAAACCCAGAAACAUGGUUCCAAAGGUGCUUUCAAAAGACUUGUUCUCAAACAAUAAAAGGUUCAAAAGGUGCUUUCAAAGACUUGUUCUCAAACCCAGAAACAUGGUUCAGAAGGUGCUUUCCAAGGUAUUAUUUCAAAACAAAAAAAAUAUUCUAAAAGGUGCUUUUCAAAAACUUAAUCUCAAACCAAAAAAGGCUUAAAAGGUGCUUUGAAAAUCUUUAUCUCAAACCAAAAAAGGCUUGAAAGGUGCUUUCAAAAUCUUGAUCUCAAACCAAAUACAAGGCCCAAAAGGUGCUUUAAAGAACUUGAUCUCAAACCAAAAACAAGGUUCCAAAAAGGUGCUUUAAAAAGACGUGAUCUCAAACCCAGAAACAUGGUUCCAAAGGUGGUUUCAAAGACUUGUUCUCAAACAAAAAAGGUUCAAAAGGU
rnacentral:lncRNA from 1 species